AACGAACGCUGGCGGCAGGCCUAACACAUGCAAGUCGAACGCCGUAGCAAUACGGAGUGGCAGACGGGUGAGUAACGCGUGGGAACCUACCUUACGGUCGGGAAUAGCUCAGGGAAACUUGGGGUAAUACCGGAUAAGCCCUUACGGGGAAAGAUUUAUCGCCGUUAGAUGGGCCCGCGUAGGAUUAGCUAGUUGGUGAGGUAAUGGCUCACCAAGGCGACGAUCCUUAGCUGGUCUGAGAGGAUGAUCAGCCACACUGGGACUGAGACACGGCCCAGACUCCUACGGGAGGCAGCAGUGGGGAAUAUUGGACAAUGGGCGCAACCCUGAUCCAGCCAUGCCGCGUGAGUGAAGAAGGCCUUCGGGUUGUAAAGCUCUUUCGGUGGGGAAGAAAUUGCACCUUCUAAUACAGGGUGUAGAUGACGGUACCCGCAUAAGAAGCACCGGCUAACUACGUG
rnacentral:rRNA from 1 species